GACGAACGCUGGCGGCGUGCUUAACACAUGCAAGUCGAACGGUGAAGCGCCUUCCUUUUUGGUGGGUGUGGAUGAGUGGCGAACGGGUGAGUAACACGUGAGUAACCUGCCCCCUUCUUCUGGAUAACCGCAUGAAAGUGUGGCUAAUACGGGAUAUUCUGGGUCUGUCGCAUGAUGGGUCUGGGAAAGAUAUUGUUUCGGUGGGGGAUGGGCUCGCGGCCUAUCAGCUUGUUGGUGGGGUGAUGGCCUACCAAGGCGGUGACGGGUAGCCGGCCUGAGAGGGUGGACGGUCACACUGGGACUGAGACACGGCCCAGACUCCUACGGGAGGCAGCAGUGGGGAAUAUUGCACAAUGGGCGCAAGCCUGAUGCAGCGACGCCGCGUGAGGGAUGGAGGCCUUCGGGUUGUGAACCUCUUUCGCCAGUGAAGUAGGCCUGCCUCGUUUGUGGGUGGGUUGACGGUAGCUGGAUAAGAAGCGCCGGCUAACUACGU
rnacentral:rRNA from 1 species